rnacentral:tRNA from 1 species
GGGGAUGUGGCUCAGUGGUAGGGGUCUUGCUUUGCAUGCAAGAGGCCCUGGAUUCAAUCCCCAGCACCAACA